rfam:Clitoria yellow vein virus (CYVV) 3' terminus tRNA-like structure.
UUCUCUCGAGUGCGAGGCCCAUUCACACACAAUGGGUAUUGGGUGCAACCCCCCCGUCCAUCUCGAACGGUCAUCGAGACCA